UUACAAAAAAUCCCACUUUUGGGAGUUCAGAUAUCCCACUUUUGCUAGUUCGCUUAAGCGAACUGAAAAAAGUGGGAUAUCGUGAACUGAAAAAAGUGUGAUUAAAACAGUUUACUGAGUUCGGCAUGUCGAACUUCGAAAACUGAGAUUUGGGACUUAGAACGAUUUUUCAAACUGCAUGAAAUAUUUCUUUGUCUGUUAAGUGUCAAAUUCUUUCGCACUAACAAAAUCAAACCGCGUGGAUUUUGAGACGACGAUCCGGAUUUCAAAGACCGUUUUACGCCCUCCUCGAGACCUUCUUCGCGCCGUGUGCCAAUUCUCGCAGUGACGGGAAUCGCAUCACAACCUCCGGUGGGCGCCUAUCAGCUUCCCGAUCUAGAAGAACCGCCUAGCACCGGGAACGUUGCCAACAAGAACCGGGCCGCUCGAGACAUCUCUCGCGCCAUUGACCAUCCUCGCCAAGACCGAAGUCGCUGGUUUGCCGCGACAUCACAUCAGCCGGAUCAGCUUCCCGAUCACGAAGAACGCUCGCUAGCGCCGUUUGACCGUCUGCGCCAAGAGCGACGUCGCUGGUGCGGCGGAUUUAACUGUUUGUUCGCAAACUUCGACGUAUUUCGUACAUUUAAAAUCACCAUCACCAAUUUUCGUUAUCUGAACCGUUUCAACGCGUAAAGGGAAUCGUCGACCUGAUCAACAAGAAUCGCAUUGCGCGGGAACGUGGCCAACAAGAACCGGGCCGCUCGAGACAUCACUCGCGCCCUUGACCAUCCUCGCCAAGACCGAAGUCGCUGGUUUGCCGCGACAUCACAUCGUCUGGAUCAGCUUCCCGAUCACGAAGAACGCUCGCUAGCGCCGUUUGACCGUCUGCGCCAAGACCUGGCCGGAUCCCUUCGCUGGACACCGUACGACAACAAACAAAAAUCAACGCGGUAUCGGUGGCUUGGACGUUCUAGACAUUUAUGGUCCGGGACCAACACAGUACAACCGAUGCUCAUCGUUAAAGCAGAGCCCGGAACCACCGAGGUGGAGACCGAGGCUCCUGAAGCAGACGAAAGCACUCCGGAUCCGUUUGGCAACAUCGAACCGAGUCCUUUGUCGGAUCCCAACCGGUUCUGCAAAAAUUGCAAUGCCCGCGAAGGCUCCAUCUGGGACAGUCGACUGUCAGUAUUCCCGCGCAAAAUUCUCAACAUUUAUCGUAAUUGCUGAAACCUUUCCAUUACAAGGACCGCCAUAUCAAGAGCUGCCAGCGACACUUCCCGGAAAAUGCUUCUUUGCAAACAGUCGCUUUAUCCAAAGUUAGACUACUGACCCUACCACAGCGCAAGUAACAACCCGCCGCGACCAGCACCUAACCUGUCAUCCUCAAUCGAAAGAUAGCAGCAUCAAGCUCCACCACAGCGGGGAACACCGCAACCGAAACGCUGAUCAGCAGCCUGAACGAGGAGGGACCGAAGAUCGUGAUCAAGCAUAAUCCGGCGAACCCCGGUUGGACAACAUGCAGAGUGGCAAGACAACGAGCAACAAGAGUCCGAGCAUCAAGGCGGGAAUGGACGCACACCCGCUGGGUCAACCUUACUGUUGGGCUAGUGGACGAUUAUGACGGCGGCAGCAUGCAGCUGGGCAGUCUCGAUGUCAUUGAUCGACGGCGUGGCCGUAUGCGGACAAGGAUUUGGAAGUCGCUGAAAUGGAAAUGGUUGACCUCGGUGGUCCGAUCGCAGCAACAGCUGGCGUUUGCACUACCAGAGAUCCUAGGAAUCGGUUCAGGAACCGCAUCAACAACAAGGAUACUCUGACGAGUAAUUCGCUGUCCAACAUCGCGGAGAUCAACAGCCAGCGCCACUUUGGGCUUGCCAAGCUAAACAGGCGGAGAACCGAUCUCGAGGUGGGACCGGACACGACUCAUUUCGCCUUCGCCACUCGCUAAGAGCAACUGCCCGCGACGGAUUUGGGAGGUUUGCGACUACCGUCGCCGUCGUGCAUCACCCACACGAUGAUGACGAACGCGUUCCUGAAUCCGGGCAAGCUACGGCGGGAUAACAGCAACGUACAUCAGCACGGAACCGGAUCACACUUUGGUGCUUACGGGUCAGGACCAGUACGUCAAAUUCGGCAGUUCUCAAGACCAGUACCGUUACCUCACGGCCAGCCGGCAACUUCUACGGCCAGAACAGCCGGUGCAGCAGCAGUCGCCAGAUCACACUGCUCCAUCGCCCAGUGUCCUCCUAAUCUGUUCAUCGGUGAACAUCACAUUGGCGACCGGGACAGUCUUCAGCAGUGCCACUUGAGCCUUCUCCUGUUCCUUCCUGCUGAUCAGGUCGGCUCUGACUGGUGAAAGCGGCGGCCGUGAAGGAUCGCGUAGUCGUGAGAGCCUCGGUUAAUAAAGCGAACUUGAGCAGAAAUGCGCGCGGGCAGCAACAUCAUUUCGUGCGCGGCCCAAUUGAAGGUGUGGACACCGUCCGGACGGUAUAUGUCUCUCUCUGGAAAUUGACGGAUGCGACGAAUUUCUCUAGACUUCUUAAGUCGGUCCCCGCCAACCCACUGAGGAUUUUGGCUCGAGCCUACUCGAUUCAGGCUCGAUCUCGAGCCAGAUCGACUCGAGACUCGAGCCAAAAUUCUCAGUGGGAAGAUUGAGAGAUUGUACGUACUCGUUUUUUGUUAAACAUACUUUAA